CUACGAAUUAUCUAAUCCUGUUUGCUCCCCCACGCUUUCGUGCAUGAGCGUCAGUGUUAUCCCAGGAGGCUGCCUUCGCCAUCGGUGUUCCUCCGCAUAUCUACGCAUUUCACUGCUACACGCGGAAUUCACCUCCUCUGACACCUCUAGCUCGGUAGUUAAAUAAAGUUCCAAAGUUAUGAAAUAUGGGUUCCGUGUCUUUCUUCAGACUUCACUCUUGCGCUUCCACGCCCAAUGGUAUUCGUUCCGGCAGCACACCCCAUGCUUACCGCGGCACUCGUGCGUAGUUAGCCGGUGCUUAUUCUGCAGGUACCGUCAGUUGCGCAGUGUGUCCGUGCCGUUUCUUUCCUGCCAAAGUGCUUUACAACCCGAAGGCCUUCAUCGCACACGCGGGAUGGCUGGAUCAGGGGUUUCCCCCGUUGUCCAAAAUUCCCCACUGCUGCCCCCGUA
rnacentral:misc_RNA from 1 species